rnacentral:rRNA from 1 species
UACAGAGGGUGCAAACGUUGUUCGGAAUUACUGGGCGUAAAGCGUGUGUAGGCGGUUUGCUAAGUCGGGUGUGAAAGCCCCGGGCUCAACCCGGGAAGUGCACUCGAAACUGGCAGGCUAGAGUACUGGAGAGGUUGGUGGAAUUCUCGGUGUAGAGGUGAAAUUCGUAGAUAUCGAGAGGAACAUCGGUGGCGAAGGCGGCCUUCUGGACGGUGACUGACGCUGAGACGCGAAAGCGUGGGGAGCAAACAGG